UACAAGAAAGAAAGCAAUGCAGCAGAGGUC
rnacentral:piRNA from 1 species